rnacentral:rRNA from 1 species
UACAGAGGGUGCGAGCGUUAAUCGGAAUUACUGGGCGUAAAGCGCGCGUAGGCGGCUUUGCAAGUCGGGUGUGAAAUCCCCAGGCUUAACCUGGGAACUGCAUUCGAGACUGCAUUGCUAGAGUAUGGGAGAGGGAAGUGGAAUUUCCGGUGUAGCGGUGAAAUGCGUAGAUAUCGGAAGGAACAUCAGUGGCGAAGGCGGCUUCCUGGACCGGUUCUGACACUGAGGAGCGAAAGCGUGGGGAGCGAUCCGG